rnacentral:rRNA from 1 species
AACGAACGCUGGCGGCAUGCCUAACACAUGCAAGUCGAACGAGACCUUCGGGUCUAGUGGCGCACGGGUGCGUAACGCGUGGGAAUCUGCCCUUUGCUUCGGAAUAACAGUUAGAAAUGACUGCUAAUACCGGAUGAUGUCUUCGGACCAAAGAUUUAUCGGCAAAGGAUGAGCCCGCGUAGGAUUAGGUAGUUGGUGGGGUAAAGGCCUACCAAGCCGACGAUCCUUAGCUGGUCUGAGAGGAUGAUCAGCCACACUGGGACUGAGACACGGCCCAGACUCCUACGGGAGGCAGCAGUGGGGAAUAUUGGACAAUGGGGGCAACCCUGAUCCAGCCAUGCCGCGUGAGUGAUGAAGGCCUCGGGUUGUAAAGCUCUUUUGGUCGGGGACGGAUGAUGACGGUACCCGCCAGAAUAAGCCCCGGCUAACUUCGUGCCAGCAGCCGCGGUAAU